rnacentral:rRNA from 1 species
UACGUAGGGUGCAAGCGUUAAUCGGAAUUACUGGGCGUAAAGCGUGCGCAGGCGGUUUUGUAAGUCUGACGUGAAAGCCCCGGGCUCAACCUGGGAAUUGCGAUGGAGACUGCAAGGCUUGAAUCUGGCAGAGGGGGGUAGAAUUCCACGUGUAGCAGUGAAAUGCGUAGAGAUGUGGAGGAACACCGAUGGCGAAGGCAGCCCCCUGGGUCAAGAUUGACGCUCAUGCACGAAAGCAUGGGGAGCGAACAGG